GAAAUGGAUUUACUGGACAUUUGUGAAUAGGAGAAGCCAGAUUUUGUUUGAGUUUGAUGCACUACUGAAACACAUGGACACUUUAUUGAACAGCUGAAGAUGUGACAGGAAACAGGUUGACAGAGAAGGGUAGCGACAUACAACAAAGUCUUUUCACAUCAAGAAAUCCUAAGCGGACACAGGAUUUUUCGCCUGAGACCCUCCAGGACACCCUCAAUAACCACUAUACACUGGACCCCACUUUGAGAACCAGUGGUCUAUGGGAAAAAGAGCACUCACACACUGGGUGUGGGUAUUGACUGCACCAUUAAGCCUGAUGGAAAGCUACUAAAACACAAUAACAUGCUGUCAUUUUAUUUACGAAGUCCUGAUGAUUGGUUUUAAUUUAAGUGCACCUAACUCAUGGAUCAAAAAUGACUUUUUUACACAACCGUGUUUUAUUUUACAUCUUAGUUUUUUAUUUCAAUUGUUUAACAUUACUGUAUUAUUAUUUAAAAUGUAUGUAUCCAUCAAAUUAUCUGACAUAACUGCUGUAUUUAUAACUAGUAACUGUCUGAUAGAUCUAAAAUGUUUUUUUAUGAACUUAUUGAAAGAUUGCCUUUCUUUGUUGUUGUUUUUCCCUUUUCUGUGUAGUGUAAGGUCAUUGUCCUGACGUGUGCGUUGCUUUAUGUUGUUAUCCUUAUAUUUAAGUGUUUUAUAUGAGCUUUGUAAAAUACUGUAUAGCUGUUUUGUGUUAAUGUUUUUUACGGGUCUAUUGUAGUUGUCAUUACACCUGCCCAGGGGCUGCGACUGAAAAUUUUACCAGAACGAUAAAACUGGCAUAUUUACAGAAAUGUUACUAAUGUGGUAUGUCCCUGUAACUCUAAACUGUCUAAAUAAAUAAACAAUUGCCUAGA